AUUGAACGCUGGCGGCAGGCCUAACACAUGCAAGUCGAACGGUAACAGGAAGAAGCUUGCUUCUUUGCUGACGAGUGGCGGACGGGUGAGUAAUGUCUGGGAAACUGCCUGACGGAGGGGGAUAACUACUGGAGACGGUAGCUAAUACCGCAUAACGUCGCAAGACCAAAGAGGGGGACCUUCGGGCCUCUUGCCAUCGGAUGUGCCCAGAUGGGAUUAGCUAGUAGGUGGGGUAACGGCUCACCUAGGCGACGAUCCCUAGCUGGUCUGAGAGGAUGACCAGCCACACUGGAACUGAGACACGGUCCAGACUCCUACGGGAGGCAGCAGUGGGGAAUAUUGCACAAUGGGCGCAAGCCUGAUGCAGCCAUGCCGCGUGUAUGAAGAAGGCCUUCGGGUUGUAAAGUACUUUCAGCGGGGAGGAAGGGAGUAAAGUUAAUACCUUUGCUCAUUGACGUUACCCGCAGAAGAAGCACCGGCUAACUCCGUG
rnacentral:rRNA from 1 species